AUACUUGCUUCGGCAGCGUAUGUACUAAAAUUGUAAUGAUGCAGAAAAUUAGCAGGGCCCUUGUGCAAGAGUGACAUGCAAAUUUAUGAAGUUUUUCAUAUUUAA
ensembl:snRNA U6 U6 spliceosomal RNA